UAAACAUACGUAUUUAUACUUACCAAAUUCAAGUGUCAAUUGUAAGUAAUACUUUUUUGUUGAGCCUUUGAUAAUUUUUUGAGAUUUCAAUGUUCGAGCAGAUGGAAGAAGAAAUUUCUUUUUAACUGUGUUGAAAAAUCUGAUAAGAAAAGUGAUUUCGUUUUGAGAUUUAAGUGGAAUUGUUUGGAUUUAUUACUUUUUUAAAGAGGGUAUUAUUGUCUUUUGGACAAAUGGUAUAUUUUUGUAAUUACAACACAUAACAAGGACAAAAUUGACAUUUACCCUUCAAAAGACCAUUUUGGUGAAUGGCAAAAAAAGGUUGGUCAAUAUGAAAAAUUAGUGUUUUGACUUGAUUAUUCUAAAAAGUACCCCUGAAUGAUGAGUGUUUUGAUGUGAUUAGCAUCUGAACUGUUAUUUCACUAGCAAGUUAGUCCGCGGCUUUAAAAAAUUUAAUUCAGAGCAUAUCCAAAAAAAUUCUUAUUUUUAAAGAGCGACUAUAAAUUUAUAGAGUAAAAUUUUUUAAAUAUUCCAACAUUCUCUUUGUGUUUAACAUUUAAUUUAUUACUCUAAAAUUAUUUAUUAUUUUUCCUAUAUUUUAUUUUCACUAGCUUCCCACCUAAUUAUUAUAUAGUUUUCUUACAUUAAAAAUUGAAAUAUUUUGAAUACAUUUUAAUUAUAGAGGGUGAAUUUGGAAAGUUAGAGCCACUUUCUAUUUUGAAAUGUUAAUUUAAAUAGUAUUUUUGGAGUAUAAUUUUAACAGUUUACUCUUUAAAGUAGUGA
rnacentral:sRNA from 1 species